CCGAAUCGAAACCCUCGUCGCAUUGCCCGAUACUUUCUCGAUCUUCAAUCCAAUGGCGACUACGAAGAAGAGCAAGCCGCAGCCGCCGCCCGAGUCGAAGGAAUCGGAAGAAGAACCCAUCGCCACGGCUGGGGAGAAGAAGAGGAAGAAGAAGCCGGGCAAUGAGAUCGAUGAGAUUUUCCAAGGAAAGAAGGCCAAGAAGAGCAAGACGUCCGCCGCGGGCGAAGAAGAAGCACGGGAGAAAGGAAAGAAGCAGGCUAAGGGAACGGGGGAGGGCGGUGGUAGUAAGAAGACGAAGGAUAAGACGAAGAAGAGGCGGGAAGUGUCUUUGGAUGAAGGCUCCGAGGCACGGGCGCGGCGGAGGAAAACGGGGGACGGGCUCGCCAUUUACUCGGCCGAGGAGCUCGGUUGGGGGAACUCGGAAUCAGGGGGAACCCCUCUUUGCCCUUUCGACUGUUCCUGCUGCUUCUGAUCCUCUGAAGAUCUCAACAAGAUGAGGCCCAGUAUGCAUGUGAUAUGACUGUGUUGAGCUGACAGUGGUGCUACAGAAUGAUGCUGGCUUUGGAGCUUCAUGGCUUUAUCUCAGUUAAGACUUGGUAGGCAAGAAGGAGAUGCUAAUAAGAUCAAGUUUUGAGUUUGGAGUAGGAAUUUGUGCUGUGUAUUUGCACCUUGUCUGGUUGUCAUUUUGAUGGAUUCUCAAUUCAUUCCAAGCUUCUAAUUUGUGAGUACUGUUUUGGAUGAGAGAGCAAGAAGAGAUCCUGCUAGGUUUUUUUUGUUGUGUUGCACCACCAUACCUGACAGUGGAGCCUCAUGGCUUUAUCUCAGUUGGUAGGCAAGAUGGAGAUGCUAAUAAGAUCGAGUUUCGAGUUUGGAGUAGGAAUUUGUGAUGUGUAUUUACACCUUGUAUGGUUAUCAUUCUGAUGGAUUCUCAAUUCAUUCCAAGCUUCUAA